GCACCCUUAGCUCAGUGGUAGAGCAGCGGACUUUUAAUCCGAAGGUCCUGGGUUCGAUCCCCAGAGGGUACACCA
rnacentral:tRNA from 1 species